UACGAAGGGUGCAAGCGUUACUCGGAAUUACUGGGCGUAAAGCGUGCGUAGGUGGUGAGUUAAGUCUAUCGUGAAAGCCCCGGGCUCAACCUGGGAAUGGCGAUGGAUACUGGCUCGCUAGAGUGCGGUAGAGGAGAGUGGAAUUCCCGGUGUAGCAGUGAAAUGCGUAGAGAUCGGGAGGAACAUCAGUUGCGAAGGCGGCUCUCUGGACCAGCACUGACACUGAGGCACGAAAGCGUGGGGAGCAAACAGG
rnacentral:rRNA from 1 species